CGUAUGUGUGCCAAGCCGUUAGUUGUUCUGAGAGGAGACAAUUUACAAGGACUGAGAAAAGAAAGCAGCCCCGAGUGAGAGAGCAGUUAACUUUAGAUGGGGGUGAGAGUAAGUCCACGCUUGCCAACCUCAGAUAUACUGGGCUUCUGUGGUGUUCACCACAAAGAAAGAUGCCUCUGCCUGGCUCAGUGCACAAUACUAUCUGUUACACAUGGAUACCAGCAAUAAUACACAGGGGGCUCUGGCAUAAGAGACUGGCAGCCUGGCGAUCCUCUGUCUUCUGAGCCUCAUUCUGCAACAAGGAGUUCCUGCUUACAUGGAAGCCACCAUCGCCAGGAAUUCCACACAGGCACACAGCGUCUAGGAUUUCUUCUUCUGAACUUUAGUCAGUCAACGCAGCCUUAGCCUUCCAGUGCCACAUGGAUGCAGUGAGUCUUUACAGCCACACAGCAGCAUGAUUUUGAAGAGACUAGUUUUAUUUUGGUUUUGCUCUGAGAGGGGGUAAUUUCAUAGGACUGUUGUAUUUCAAGAUCCUUGUACACAUAAAAAACAAUUUUGAGGGCUUCAAUAAAAUAAAUUCUGCAUACUAUGUGAAUGCUAAAAAAAAUUAGCUGCUACCGUGAAAGAGUAGGUCAGAUCCUGUUGAAGAAAGCAUAUGAACUAUAAAUGCUGCCAUCGUCAACAUGGGCUCUAAGAAUCCCCCAGAAUGCUUUCAAAAAUACAGAUGGGUGUAGCCCAUCGAUUGGAGAGUCUGAUUCAGUUAGGCAACAGCAGAGCCCAGGCAUCUGGAAUUUUUCUGACUUCCUCUGAUGACUGCAGUUAG